UGGUGGUAAAGAAAUAUGUGAAUGAUAGGAAAAUAUUAUUACUUAUGGAUGAAAAAUAUAAAUUUAUUUUUAAGUAUAAAAACCUUAAAUUAAUCAACUUUUUAUCAUGUUAACAGCUUAAAGGGUAUUUCAGACAUUUUGAUUAAAAAAAGUGUUUACCAGCACUUAUUUGCCAAACACAUCAACAACUUUUUUUUCAACUGCAGCACUUUUAUCCAAACACAUAACUACUUAUUUUUAAAAUAAGUUUCAGCACUUUAAAAAGUUAC
rnacentral:lncRNA from 1 species